AAGCGACGUUCAACCGCAAAAGAAGCAGAGGGGGCUUAGUGGUGGGGUGACUGCGUACCUUUUGUAUAAUGGGUCAGCGACUUAUAUUCUGUAGCAAGGUUAACCGAAUAGGGGAGCCGGAGGGAAACCGAGUCUUAAUUGGGCGUUAAGUUGCAGGGUAUAGACCCGAAACCCGGUGAUCUAGCCAUGGGCAGGUUGAAGGUUGGGUAACACUAACUGGAGGACCGAACCGACUAAUGUUGAAAAAUUAGCGGAUGACCUGUGGCUGGGGGUGAAAGGCCAAUCAAACCGGGAGAUAGCUGGUUCUCCCCGAAAGCUAUUUAGGUAGCGCCUCGUGAAUUCAUCUCCGGGGGUAGAGCACUGUUUCGGCUAGGGGGCCAUCCCGGCUUACCAACCCGAUGCAAACUGCGAAUACCGGAGAAUGUUAUCACGGGAGACACACGGCGGGUGCUAACGUCCGUCGUGAAGAGGGAAACAACCCAGACCGCCAGCUAAGGUCCCAAAGUCAUGGUUAAGUGGGAAACGAUGUGGGAAGGCCCAGACAGCCAGGAUGUUGGCUUAGAAGCAGCCAUCAUUUAAAGAAAGCGUAAUAGCUCACUGGUCGAGUCGGCCUGCGCGGAAGAUGUAACGGGGCUAAACCAUGCACCGAAGCUGCGGCAGCGACACUGUGUGUUGUUGGGUAGGGGAGCGUUCUGUAAGCCUG
rnacentral:rRNA from 1 species